rnacentral:rRNA from 1 species
UACAGAGGGGGCUAGCGUUAUUCGGAAUUAUUGGGCGUAAAGGGCGCGUAGGCGGCCAUGCGUGUCUUCCGUGAAAUCCCUCGGCUUAACUGAGGACGUGCGGAAGAAACUGCAAGGCUCGAGUCCGGGAGAGGGGGGCGGAAUUCCCAGUGUAGCGGUGAAAUGCGUAGAUAUUGGGAGGAACACCGGUGGCGAAGGCGGCCCCCUGGACCGGUACUGACGCUGAGGCGCGAAAGCGUGGGUAGCAAGCGGG